rnacentral:lncRNA from 1 species
UUUUUUUUUUUUUUUUUUUUUUUUGUCUUUUUAGGGCCGCACCUCCAUUUUAGUAUAUGGAGGUUCCCAGGCUUGGGGAGAAUCGGAGCUGUAGCUGCCGGCCUUCGCCACAGCCACAGCCACGCCAGACUGGAGCCAACCUAUACCACAGCUCAUGGCAACACCGGAUCUUAACCCACUGAGCAAGGCCAGGGAUCCUCAUGGAUGCUAGUCAGAUUUGUUUCCUCUGAGCCAGGACGGGAACACCUAUACACUUUUUUUAAGACAUAAUGCUGUUGCACACUUUAAUAGACUACAGUAUAAUAUAAACAUAAUUUUUAUAUGCACUGGGAAACCAGAAAAUUUAUAUGACUCACUUUACUGUGAUAUUUGCUUUAUUGCAGUGGUCUGAAACUGAAUCUGUAAUAUCGCUGAGGUUUGCUUGUAUUUGUUAAGCACUUAUGUGCCAGGUAGACAUGAUCCCUGUCCUUUGAGGACUUAAAAUCUAGUUGGGGAGGCCAACAGUCAAUGACUGUAUGUUUAUGAGUGGAAGUUCUCUGAAAAGAAAGAAUUUUGUUCUAGAAGAGUGUGUAGCCAGAAACCCCAGUGUAGACUUCCUCAUGCCUAUGGCAUGCCUAUGGCAUGAGGAAGUUCCUGGGCCAGGGAUCAAACCCAUGCCAUUGUGGUGACAAUGCCAGAUCCCUAAAUACUAGUCUACCAGAGAACUCCCCAGUAUAGACUUUUUUUCUUUUUUAGGCCUGUAUGAUCCUGGCCCAGGAACUUCCUCAUGGCACAGUCAUCUCUCCCUCCCCACCAAGAAAAAAUACAGUUCUGAUCAUUUCACUUCUUGCUGAAAACCUUUAAUUUCUCCUUACUGCCUAUUAUAGGCCAUCGCACAAGAUCCUUUAUAACCUCACCAAAAUGGCCUUCUUCAGAUUUAUUUCAUUUAUUUUCUCACUCUUUUUACAGCCAUUCCUUUUGCUUACCCUACAUUUUUUAGUCUCAACACUUUAGUUUCUUUUCUUUUUUGUUUGAAUACUUUUCCCUGCUCCAAGGCAUUCAGCUUCAAAUCUGACCCUUCCUUCAAUCUACCAAAAAAUUUCAUCUCCUUCCUUUUUUUUUUUUUGUCUUUUUGUCUUUUCUAGGGCCGCACCUGCAGCAUAUGGAGAUUCCCAGGCUAGGGGUCCAGUCAGAGCUGUAGCCUGUGACCUUUGCCGGAGCCACAGCAACGCAGGAUCUGAGCCGAGUCUGUGACCUACACCACAGCUCACGGCAACGCCGGAUUCUUAACCCACUGAGUGAGGCCAGGGAUCAAACCUGCAACCUCAAGGUUCCUAGUUGGAGUCAUUAACCACUGAGUCAUGAUAAGAACUCAUCUUCUUCCUUUCUUAACUCUUUUUUCCACCCACCUAUAUCUCCAGAAUUAAUUUCAUAUUCCUCUGUGUCUCUUUAACUUUUUGCUAAGAUCUCUGUUAUAAAACUUUAUCACACAUUGUCUUUCUCUUUUUUCCUUUUUUAUAUAUUUUUUUGUUUUUUUAUGAAUUUAUUAUAUUUAUAGUUGUACAAUGAUACAGCAUCUCCAUCCCAGACCCCCACACCUUGUCUUUAAUUAUAAUUAUAUGUGAGUAUUUUUUUUUCCUCAUUCUCAACUCCAUAAGAGGCCUGUUUCCUAUUUUCCCAUGACUUCUAGCCUAGUGCUUUGAAUAUAACUUUAUGCUUAAGGCUUGCUGAAUUGAAUUGGAAUUUGAUAUUUGAAAACAGAAACUUGUGAUUUUUUUUUUUUUUUUGAGACCUCUUUUUAUGUUAAGGUGACUUCCAUUCAACACAUUUUACCCCAAACUGAAUAACCUAGGAACAAGGCACAGAGUGUGAAAGCCUUCAGAAAUCUUUCAGACUCAAGGACAAGCAUCUGUCGCCUUUAGUGUCUGCAGCAGUACUGUGGUUCCAUAUAUUCUAGCUGCUGGAGCCUUUGGGGGGAGGGGCAGAGGUAGGUCAGUUCUGGGAAGUAGACUGAUUCUGUUAGAGGAAUAUAGCGUUGGGCCCUCUGGGUAUUGUUGACCUCCAGGAGGUCUUUUUAGUUUGUCUUAUUUACUUCUUUCAUUCCGUAAACAUUUAUUGGAUUCCUACUAUAUGUGAAGUCCUACCCUAGCUGCUUAAGAUCUGUCAACUAACAAAAUAGACAAAAAAAAAAUCCUAGCCUCAUAGAUCUUGUGUUUUAACAAAAGGAAAUGUAAAUAAGCAUAAUAAAUAAUUAUAUAGUACUGAGUGUGCUAAAUGAUGUGGGAGAAAAAUAGAACAGAGUAGGGGGAUUAGGAUUGUGGAGGAGGGAUAAAUGGGGAGGUGGGAGGGUUACAGCUUUAAAUAAGAGUAGAGAUCUUUGAUAAAUAUGGUGCUAGUGUGUUACUGGGUUGUUAGGCACUUCUCUGAGCUUGCUGAAUGUUCUUCUGCCCAGCAGAGAGACAGGGGCAAUGGCUGCCGUGUUCCAGAGUCUAGCAGACAUUGAGGGGAAAUACAUUCUUUUCUUCUGCUGCUCCACUGGCUGGCACUCCUUCCUGGAAGUCAGUCAUGGUGAAAAUUGCAGUCAUGUGUGAAAGAUAGACACCAGGGCUAGAACUGGAGGCCUUGUAGCCAGUUCCCUGAGAAGUGGGAUUUGCUCUCCUGCUAAAUGGGUCUAGGGUGCCUGGAGUAAUAGGUGAGUUAGGCCUCUUGAGACUUCUUCUUCCUCAAAGGGAAAAGCCUAAUACUACAACCUUCCCUCUUUCUAGUGAGGCCUCAGCAAGUUUGUUUGGAGUAGCUCUUUAAAAAGAGGAUUCGGGUUUGAUCCCUGGCCCUGCUCAGUGAGUUAAGGAUCUGACGUUGCCACAAGCUGUGGUGUAGGCCGCAGAUACAGCUUGGGUCUGAUGUUGCUGUGGCUGUGGUGUAGGCCGGCAGCUGUAGCUCCGAUUUGACCCCUAGCCUGGGAAUGUCCAUGUGCCACAGAUGUGGCCCUAAAAAGAGAAAAAAAAAACAAAACCUUUUAGGGACUAUACACUUUGCUUCCAACCUAAAAAUUGAAUUUUAAGGUUCGUGGUAUUUUGACUUCCUCUCAAUGCAUAGCUGGCUCUCUUCUGGAAGUCUCAGUACCUAAUUCAUUAGCUUGAGGAUAAAGAUGUCCUAAAAUCUCUUGAUGCUCUCCUGUUUGAUUUGUGUUUUGUAAAUUUUCUUACAAUUUCCAAGAUUGCUCUUUUCCUAACCCUUCUACUACUUCAUUAUUUUUCCUGUAACCUCCUCCCUUUUUUCUUUGCAUGAAGCUGUUAGGAAACAGCUUCAAACAGCCUUUGGUUAGGCUUCUGUUGUGGUAACUGGCUGGAAGCUAAAAUUCCUCUAACAUAUGAGUUAUAAUGUCUUAUUUCUGUCCUUAGGUUAUGUAGAAUACAGCUUAUGGACAUCAGGUUCUUAGCCUGUUUGUUAUACUGUAUGCUAUGACAUAGCUGAGAGGUGCAAGGUACCGGUACACUCCAUUUUUAGUUGUUUAUACCAUUAGCUUAUUCUGUUGCAGUUCACAAGAAGACCUAUUUGCCAUUCUGUAAAAAUGUGAUCUUUUUGAUAUGAAAACUUUAAAAAUAAAAGUUCUUAAUGAACUUGGGGUCGAUGCUAAGAAAAACCUAUUACUUUUAGGCAGAUGUGGCUCUAAUGUUAGAUGAGUAUCUAGGCAGAUUUCACACUGCUUUUCUUUGUAAGGAUUUGCUGCAUAUCAGACUUGAAGUCAUACAUUCUUACUACUUAUGCUUAACUUAAUGUAUUACUGAUUCUCUGAACUUAAAGCCAGUGGCUGUUAAUUCAAAUGUAUGUUGUUGUUGUUUUUUCUUUAGUAGUUGAAAGGAUCUCAGUUUAACUGACCAAGUUGUAUUGUUUUAUUAGUAAAAAUGCUUUAACAUAGCUUAGUUUGCUAGAGAAAAUUGGUUUUUUAGUAGUAAUGUUUCUGUGGCUUGUAUUAGUAGGCCCUUCCAGUCCUAGCAGAGCUAGAAAUCCUGGCAGUGUGGAUUUCAGAUGAGUUCCAUAACACUGUCUGACAGAGGAGGAAAUGUAGGGCAGUGUCUGGUAAUAUUCUUUUUUUUUUUUAUGGAGCCUUUCUAUAAGAAGGAAAUUCACUUUUAACAAGGUCACGGUGGUGGGGUAGGUGGUAUAACAGUGAAGGAAUAUUUUCCUCCAACAACCAAUCUAUAAUAUAUUUUACCUGCAUCUGUGAUCUGAAGCAUUAGAUUUAUUUAAAAACAUUACAUAAACAUGAUGAGUGCCAUUUCUGUCAUCCUUGUAUAAUUUUUCCCCCUUCUUUCUUGGUAGGCAAAAUAAUGAUAUAAUGAUUUAAUCCACAUCUCAGAUACUUGAUGGGAAGAGACUAAUCGUUGAAAUGUGGUGCUGCUAGAAUCUGCACUUUGUAGGAAUGAUACAGGCAGCAAGGGAUUACAUUUUUAUAAGGAUUGAUAUCCUUGCUUAAAUAAAAAUGUCACAGUCCUAAUCAAAAUAAUGUGACUAAGUUGAAGAUAUUAAAGGAGAUUGGAGAAGCUGCAAAAUAAGGCCAGAUAAUAAUAAUGUGGAGUUUAUUUACUUAUACAUAGAUUGGUUAAAUAUUUUAUAGAGAGCAAAUGUGAAGAUGUGGUUUUGAGUAAGAUAAACUACUUCAUACAGUUGGCAAUUUUAGAACCCACAAAGCGAAGAAAAAACCUGGAUUUUGCUUUGAGGAACAAAGCAAAUAAGAAUUGCCAAAGGUUUCUGCAGGUCAGCACUAUUUAGUAGUAAUCUUAUCUUGAUUAAAUUCAGCAUUCUUCAGGGAGAGGAAUAAAAUCUAUCAUGAGGAUUCACUUUUAAGAAAUUGAGCUGCAAUCAAGUAUGUACGUUAGGAAAAGUGGAAAGAUUUUAAAAAGCAAAUAACCACUGGAAGCUUAAAGACUUAAAAACCAUUUUAUUAGAAAAUAAGUGUUCAAAAGGACCAUACAAAACUGAUGGUCACUGGCAUAGUCUCACAGGCUGUGGAGAGGAGAAAACAUCUUUUAAAAAAAAUUAGCAACAGGAGUUCUCGUUGUGGCUCAGUGCUUAACGAAUCUGACUAGGAGACAGGAGGUUGCAGGUUCGAUCCCUGGCCUCGCUCAGUGGAUUAAGGAUCCGGUGUUGCCAUGACCUGUGGUGUAGGUCACAGACACAGCUUGGAUCCCACGUUGCUGUGGUUGUGGCGUAGGCUGGCAGCUGUAGCUCAGAUGAGACCUCAACCCUGGGAACCUCUAUAUGCCGCAGGUGUGGCCCUGGAAAAGACAAAAAAAAAAAAAAAGAAAAAGAAAAA